rnacentral:rRNA from 1 species
AUUGAACGCUGGCGGCAGGCCUAACACAUGCAAGUCGAGCGGAUGAAGGGAGCUUGCUCCUGGAUUCAGCGGCGGACGGGUGAGUAAUUCCUAGGAAUCUGCCUGGUAGUGGGGGAUAACGUCCGGAAACGGGCGCUAAUACCGCAUACGUCCUGAGGGAGAAAGUGGGGGAUCUUCGGACCUCACGCUAUCAGAUGAGCCUAGGUCGGAUUAGCUAGUUGGUGGGGUAAAGGCCUACCAAGGCGACGAUCCGUAACUGGUCUGAGAGGAUGAUCAGUCACACUGGAACUUAGACGCGGGCCAGACGCCUACGGGAGGCAGCAGUGGGGAAUAUUGGACAAUGGGCGAAAGCCUGAUCCAGCCAUGCCGCGUGUGUGAAGAAGGUCUUCGGAUUGUAAAGCACUUUAAGUUGGGAGGAAGGGCAGUAAGUUAAUACCUUGCUGUUUUGACGUUACCAACAGAAUAAGCACCGGCUAACUUCGUG